CCCCUCAAACUCCAUCUCCUUUGCAAGUAUGCCAACACCACCAUGUGUAAAUCAUCAUGUGCAUGUGUGUUAGCAUUUUCACAAGCAUCUUCUUAAAGGAGUUAACACUCUCACUAGAUCUUAAUGCAUAUGCAAUGAGUUAGGGCAUCUAGUGGCACUUUGACAACCGCAUUUCGAUACAAGUUUCACCUCUCUUAAUAGUAUGACUAUCAAUCCUAAAUCACUCACACCCUCUAUGGUGUCUUGAGUGCAAACCAAAAAACUCCUAACACUUAUACCUUUGCCUUGAGCUUUUUGUUUUUCUCUUUCUUCUUUUCUAAGCUUGAACAUUUGAUCACCUUAUGGUAUCACUACCAUCACAAUGAUCCUCUAGAUUCCACCACUUGGCAUGGAACUUAUCAUUUGAUAUCUACACACUUACCAAACUCGGGCUUUCAGCGGGCCCUGUCGAUAGGCUCAACGAUGUUUUUUUUGUUUUUUAAUCUAUUUUUGGAGGUGAGCAUUUGACUGCCUCCGAAAACAUCAAUUUACACAUAUAUAAUAUAUAUGCUUCGUCUUUGUUCUCAAAGCAUGGUUUUUAGCGGCAUCAACAAACCUAUGCACCUCACGUAUAUAUGAUGGAUCUAGUCUUGAUAAGUUAUACAUCCAUAAGGACCUCUCCAUCAUGACCUGUUGAAAAGUUAGUAAAUUAAUUGAAAUAUUGUCUACGAAUAUUUGUUAUUAAAAAUAAGAGAAGACCUAACAAUUAAAUCAAAUUGAAAAAGGAAUCAUGGAAAUGGUGAGAGGAGAGGCAACAUCUUAAACAAGAGGGCACAAAAAUGCUUAUCGCGUAAUUAAAUCAAAUUUACAUAAAAAAUAACAUCCUAAACAAUAUAAUUUAAAAAACUAAAAAGAAAACUUACCUUUCUUAGCCACCUCCACCUCCUUCUAAGAAAUGAAGAUCAAAACCUCCACCCUUGUAUUUUGACCAGUUGAAAAGUUAGUAAAUUAAUUGAAAUAUUAUCUACGAAUAUUUGUUAUCAAAAAUAAAAGAACACCUAAUAAUUAAAUCAAAUUGAAAAAGUAAAACAAGUAUCAAAAAUAAAGACAAAACCAUAAAUAUAUAUCUUUAUAUCACUAAAAUAAAUUUGACAAGGUACAAAAACACUGUUGAUUGAAACUAAAUAUAUUAUAUCACUAAAAAAUUUGAGAAGGAAACAUGGAAAUGGUGAGAGGAGAGGCAACAUCUGAAGCAACCUCAUAUAUAAAAUGCUUAUCGCAUAAUUAAAUCAAAUUUACAUAAAAAAUAACAUCCUAAACCAUAUAAUUUAAAAAACUAAAAAGAAAACUUAUCUUUCUCUCCUA
rnacentral:lncRNA from 1 species